AUUUAAAUAAUUUAAAAAAAAAUUUAAUAUUGAAGAUAUUAAUUUAGUAAUUUUACUUUUAAAUA
rnacentral:tRNA from 1 species